rnacentral:lncRNA from 1 species
GCAGAUAAUAAUGCUGUAUGGCAUAUUGAAUAGGAGAGUAGAUCUUGGUUGCAAACAGUGAAACUGGGGACAUCAGACAGAGGAGUCCUGUGGAGAAUCCCAGGACAGCAUGGGUAGCUGUGUUAUGUCCCCAGUGAUGAAUACAAUGACAUUGCCUCAGUGGCCUUGCAGCAAAUGUGGAGCAACUUAGAUUAAUCUAUUAGUUUUAUUGUUAUUUAUGGAAUGGACCUCAAAACCCACAACUGGUUGCCCAACCUAAAAAAAAAUUUACCUCCUGCUACUCCAUAAAUAAUCACUACCCAUGUGAAACUAAACAGGAAAUGAAAACACUUGGUUCAUCCCUGGAGAGAUGCCACAGACGUGCAUUGUCAGAGCUGCCGUUACAACAUGGAUCACUGACUCAUGGCCAGGUGCCCUGGUUGAUUACCAUGCCCUCGGGGACAGAAAUAAGGAUUGGAGCUUUUGGCUUCGUAAAAAAUUAGAUCAAUGAGAAUAAAGAUGUCUUCAAUGAAUGGAAAUGUGGAAUCUCUACCUGUGGAUGAGCUUUUCCAUCUGAAGGAAUA